GGCAUGCGGCGAGCCACCCCUGCCACCCUUUCCCGCUGGAAACCACAGAUGGCAAUGACAGCAGUAGUCCCCAGGCAGCCACUCACCCCUCUCCAAGAACCCCAGCGUGCCACCUGCCAGAGCCUGCAGCUCCCGCACCCCUCUCAUGCCUCCAGCACAGCCCUGCCACCACUUGCAGAGGAAGCUGAGGCCAGAACACUGAAGUAACCUGCCCAAGACUGUGCAGCUUGCUGGCAGAGGAGCAGAGCCUGCGGCAUAGCCUCUGUGUUACACUGUAGGCCCCGAGGAUGAGGACUGGCCUGGUGUCCCUUUGGGUCUGCAGAGCAAUGCAUGGCACAGAGCGGGCCCUGACUGGGGCUGCUGAGUCACUAAGUCCCUGCAUGGGGGACCAACUGAUGCAGGCUCUGAGGUCCCAGGAUUCUGUGGAGAUUCACAGGGGACCUAGGACCCUCGGAGCUGCCCUCUGAAUUCAAGCAGUGGUGCCUCCUGUGCUUGGCAGGGAGGAUGAUCUGUGGGGUCUGUGGGCUCUGACCUCACACUGCAGCAGCAAAGCCCAGAGGACUCACUUUUUCAUGAACCAGCACAGGCUCUCCUGAGAGCCCUGGAGGGAAGGCUCCGGCUGUACUGCCUCCUGGUGUGAGGAGGCUUCCCUCUUGUCUGU
rnacentral:antisense_RNA from 1 species